AGUGAACGCUGGCGGUAGGCCUAACACAUGCAAGUCGAACGGCAGCACAGUAAGAGCUUGCUCUUACGGGUGGCGAGUGGCGGACGGGUGAGGAAUACAUCGGAAUCUACUUUUUCGUGGGGGAUAACGUAGGGAAACUUACGCUAAUACCGCAUACGGCCUACGGGUGAAAUCAGGGGAUCUUCGGACCUUGCGCGAUUGAAUGAGCCGAUGUCGGAUUAGCUAGUUGGCGGGGUAAAGGCCCACCAAGGCGACGAUCCGUAGCUGGUCUGAGAGGAUGAUCAGCCACACUGGAACUGAGACACGGUCCAGACUCCUACGGGAGGCAGCAGUGGGGAAUAUUGGACAAUGGGCGCAAGCCUGAUCCAGCCAUGCCGCGUGGGUGAAGAAGGCCUUCGGGUUGUAAAGCCCUUUUGUUGGGAAAGAACAGCAGCAGGUUAAUACCCCGCUGUUCUGACGGUACCCAAAGAAUAAGCACCGGCUAACUUCGUG
rnacentral:rRNA from 1 species